rnacentral:tRNA from 1 species
GCCCGGGUGCUGUAACUGGUAGCCAGAGCUGACUUAAAAUCAGCUGGAGUAUCCUCCGUGCGGGUUCGAGUCCCGCCCCGGGCA